UGAGCAAUCUGCCCUUCUCAUCGGAAUAAGCGUUGGAAACGACGUCUAAUGCCGAAUACGACCUCCUUUCGCAUGAUCGGAGGUGGAAAGCUCCGGCGGAGAAGGAUGAGCUCGCGGCCUAUCAGCUAGUUGGUGUGGGUAAUGGCCCACCAAGGCGACGACGGGUAGCCGGCCUGAGAGGGUGACCGGCCACACUGGGACUGAGACACUGCCCAGACUCCUAGGGAGG
rnacentral:rRNA from 1 species